GCGUUUGUAGUCCAUCUGUUAGGAUAAUUGCCUUCCAAGCAAUAGACCCGGGUUCGACUCCCGGCAUAUGCA
rnacentral:tRNA from 1 species